UACGGGGGGGGCAAGCGUUGUUCGGAAUUACUGGGCGUAAAGGGCUCGUAGGCGGCCAACUAAGUCGGAUGUGAAAUCCCCAGGCUUAACCUGGGAAUUGCAUCCGAUACUGGAUGGCUUGAAUCCGGGAGAGGUGAGUGGAAUUCCUAGUGUAGAGGUGAAAUUCGUAGAUAUUAGGAAGAACACCAGUGGCGAAGGCGGCUCACUGGCCCGGUACUGACGCUGAGGCGCGAAAGCGUGGGGAGCAAACAGG
rnacentral:rRNA from 1 species